rnacentral:lncRNA from 1 species
CAGUUAGUAUAGACCUAACCUGGAUAGAGCACAAUGGUGACAGGAUCUGAAGUACCCUGGGCCAGCCUUGAACCUAUGAUGUAGCUGAGGAUGACCUUGAACUCCUUGUCUUCCCUCCUCAACCUAGUACUUCGGGGCUGUUCCUUCAUGCUGAGUUUUAAACUAUGCUAGGGAUUGAACCCAGGGCCUCAAGCAUAUAAGGUAAACACUUUCUCACCUGAACUUCAGUGACAGCCCCUAAAUAUUAUCCCUUAUGACCUUUUUUUUUAAACCAUCAGAGGUGGAACUGAAGAAAAUACAUGGCAGUCCUCCUACUGCAAUUCCCCUUCAUCUCACAGAACUGAAAGUUCAUUUCAUUUUCUAUGAUUACUGCAAGUCGUCUCAGUAGACCUUUGGAUCUCUGGAAACCUCAUCUAGGAGACUGUGUUAUGUAGCAUGAAUGUAGAAUUUAGGUUCUACUUUUUUUUUUUAUUUGGUUUGUUCACUUUUUGAGACAGGGUUUCUCU